rnacentral:piRNA from 1 species
ACAGGCUGGAGAGAUGGCUCAGU